rnacentral:rRNA from 1 species
UACAGAGGGUGCGAGCGUUUAAUCGGAAUUACUGGGCGUAAAGCGCGCGUAGGCGGCUUUGCAAGUCGGGUGUGAAAUCCCCAGGCUUAACCUGGGAACUGCAUUCGAGACUGCAUUGCUAGAGUAUGGGAGAGGGAAGUGGAAUUUCCGGUGUAGCGGUGAAAUGCGUAGAUAUCGGAAGGAACAUCAGUGGCGAAAGCGACUUCCUGGACCAAUACUGACGCUCAUGUGCGAAAGCGUUGGGGAGCAAACAGG